GCCCCGUAAUCGGAAUGAGUACACUUUAAAUCCUUUAACAAGGAUCCAUUGGAGGGCAAGUCUGGUGCCAGCAGCCGCGGUAAUUCCAGCUCCAAUAGCGUAUAUUAAAGUUGUUGCGGUUAAAAAGCUCGUAGUUGGUUCUGCGUGCCGCGCUGUCGGUUCGCCGCCUGUCGGUGUAACUGGCAUGUCGCGGCAUGUCCUGUCGGUGGUGAACGGAGUCCACGACGCUACAUGGGCUUUAUAGUCGAUGUUAGCAUCGUGUGUACUUCCGUUGGCCGAUCUCUCCUACUUCGGUGCUCUUAAACGAGUGUCGAGGUAGGCCGACACGUUCACUUUGAACAAAUUAGAGUGCUUAAAGCAGGCUGAAAUAUCUGCCUGAAUAGUGGUGCAUGGAAUGAUAAAACAGGACCUCGGUUCUAUUUUGUUGGUUUUAGGAAUAUGAGGUAAUGAUCAAUGUGGACUGGCGGGGGCAUUCGUAUUGCGACGUUAGAGGUGAAAUUCUUGGAUCGUCGCAAGACGCACUAGAGCGAAAGCAUUUGCCAAGUAUGUCUUAAUUGAUCAAGAACGAAAGUUAGAGGUUCGAAGGCGAUCAGAUACCGCCCUAGUUCUAACCAUAAACGAUGCCAGCCAGCGAUCCGCCGAUGUUCCUUUAAUGACUCGGCGGGGAGCUUCCACCCGGGAAACCAAAGCUUUU
rnacentral:rRNA from 1 species